AGGACAAUCAACUUCAAAAAAAAAUUGAUUUAUCUGCAAUGAUUGAAAUGAAUAAGAUACAAAAAAUUGAGGACAAUCAACUUCAAAUUUUUCUUUCUAGCAUCAGAUGAAAAUGGUCAACAAUUAAGUUGUGAUUUUACCCCUUGAAAAAUGAAAAUUCCGUAACGAAACCAAAAUUGGUGUUUCCUGUUCAAGAUCAAAGUAGACAAGUUAAUUAGCUUAUCAAAUUGAAAUUAUUGUUAAUCAUGUUCAAAUAUGUUCAAAGUGAUGAUAAUUUGAUAAUUGGCAAAGAUACAUAAAAAUGCCACACGCUCACGUAAUUAGACAAGUACAGGAUUAUUUUUUUCUCGUCUUCCCAACCAAGUCAACGCACGUGAAUAUGCAAUCAAGUAACUUGGAAUCAUACUGCAAAAUUAACACAAUCAAUUUCCUCUUCUACAAACAAGCAACGUAAAAUCAAAUGAAUAUUUCCAAUUAAAGGGCAUGAGAUCGAAAAACUUUAUCCCCUUGAUCAGUAAGAACAAAUAUGGGCAUACCUCCAGGAUUUGUCAUAGUUAGUACAGUUCUCUACCUAAAAGCACCUAAAAGCCAAUGAGUAGGCAAGCAAGAGUGUCGAAGAUAAAAACCUAUAACUUUUAAAUCGACAAAAAAAGUCAUAAUGUUCUAUCUUUAACAAUUGCAGAGAUACCGGCAACUUAACAAUUUAGUGACAUGACUGAUGAAAAUAGCAAAAUAAUAAAUGCAAAAAUGUGUAGGCAGCUUGUCCAAAAGUGUUAUUCACGUCCGAAUUCAUCCACAUUAAAAGCAUAUGAAAC
rnacentral:lncRNA from 1 species